ACCUGGCUGGCUCAUUUGGUAGAGCAUGAGACUCUUGAUCUCAGGGUGUUAGGUUCGAGCCCCACACGGGGUA
rnacentral:tRNA from 1 species